rnacentral:lncRNA from 1 species
UAUUGAGAAGACAAUGGUGAUGAUGUUAUCUUCUUCCUCUACUUUCUCACUUCUUCACCCAAACCCACUUCUUCCUUUUCACUAUUCUCUCUCUUUUUCUUCCAAAAAUCUCACCUUUUCACAUAUCAAACCCUCUUCUCUUACCCUCUCAGCUUCUUCUAUUGAUUCACCACUUGUUGCACAACCACAACAAGAUGAGUCACUUCUAAAUGAAUCUGAAUCCAUUCCUCAGGUUUACUCUUUCUUUUCCUUUUUCUACAAUUCAUUAUGUAUCUAUGUAUGUAUGUUCUUGUAAUUCCAGUUACAAUACUCAAAAGGGGUGGAAUAUUUCUGGAUAAUAUGUUGCAUUUAAUAAAUACAAAUUUCCAAGAUUUAUUUUUUAUGUGAACCCUCAUUUUGGCCCUGAAAUUUGAAGUACUGGUCAUGUUAUUUGUUGAUUUUAGGAAAUUAUCAUAUUAAUCCUUGAGUUAUAGUAGUUUAGUUCUUAAUAUCAAUAGUCAUUCAUUCAAAUUUAUUAGGACUCAUUUGACUGAGAUAUUACAAAUUCAGUGACUAAUUUAUAGGUUUACUUAAGUUAGAGACUAAUAUCUCCCAACACUUAAAUUUAAGGGACUGAUAUGUUGAUUUACUUAGUCAAGAUGCAUGCCAAAUCAUUCUCUAAAAAUGAUUUGGCAUGGAUAUUGACUCUAUGGACGAGUCCGAGUCGUUUCCGGUUCCAUCACUUUAUUAAAGCUUACACUUCUUGGAUGUUGCUGAAUUUUGUGUACCUAGUUUUUCCUGGCUGUGCAUAGCAUUACUCCAUAUUUUAUUUUGAAAUGCCUUUUUUUCGAUCUCUAAUUUAAGCUGAAAAAUAUUAUGCUCAUGUAUCUUUUUGUUGGUUUUACUGUUAGAAGCUUGGCGUGGUUGUGAAGCCAAAUGACAAGCCAAGGCUUGUGUUGAAGUUCAUUUGGAUGGAGAAGAACAUUGGCAUUGCACUUGACCAAAUGAUACCGGGUCAUGGCACGAUUCCCUUGAGUCCUUACUACUUUUGGCCUAGGAAAGAUGCUUGGGAGGAGCUUAGGGAGUUACUCGAGAGCAAGCCUUGGAUAUCUCAGAAGCAGAUGAUUAUUCUCCUGAAUCAAGCUACCGAUAUCAUCAACUUGUGGCAGCAGAGUGGUGGUAACUUGGUGUAACCUUGAAUGUAGUAUAUUUCGAAUCUUUUUUUCUAUUUAAUGUUUUGUGUCAAUAGGAUGUUACCAUUUUAAUGUUAUGGAUGUUCUGGUACAUUGCCUUGUGUUGCAGCCGAGCUCGUUUUAUUACAAUGUAUGUGAGACAAGUGCCCAAUUCUUUUAUGAAUCAUUACUGUGUUAGUUUAUCGCAGUUUUAUCUCCGAACUUGCUGAGUAAUAAAAGCUUGGUUGCGAACCAUGCUGGUGAUCGUGUCACUGCUUAAUCUCACUGUUAAUUAUUUUGAAAUAGUGAGACCACUGGCCGAGAAACAUAAGACGCAAUUGUAUAUGGUAAUCAGUUGCAUUUCGAGAAAACGAUAUCACAAAUUUUGAAAUAUCUAGAACCGCCUGAUCUUGAGUAAGAUAAUAAGGACAUAAGAGUAUGAUGUUCUUCAGUUUAAUUACCAUCUUAUUAGUUGCGAAGGGAAAUUACAUCCUGAUUUUAUUUUUUACUGGCCAUGUUGUGAUUGGAAAAUCGGACUUGUAUAUAUUGUUCACUCUGCAGAUGACUCCAUUCUUCAAUGUACUGCUCAAAUAUUUAAGCACUCCUCAGUAACAUCGUCUUCCGAAUAUGUGUUGAUGAUGCAUAUGUGUCUGCAUUGAAAAAUAUUCUCCACCUGAUCUUUCCAGCACAGGUCUUCUCACUAUAGGAUAUAUAGUUGGAUCAGUUUGAGAUCUCUGUGGAUUAUGUCUUCUAGCUUGGUAAGAAGGGUGAUAUUUCUCUCUUCGCCGAAGUGUUCAUUCUUGCCGAAGUGUAACUCUGUAUUCUCUGAUGUUUGAAUAUUAUCUCUUGGAUUUUGACUUGAUUGAGAUGCAAAUUGUUUUGUGAUUUCUCUGCUUCACUUUCAAGUCCAAUUCUUUAAGAUCAAGAUGGUUGCUUUUUUAAAUAACUUCAUCCUCACCAUGGGAUGCACAUGCACCUUGUCAAGAGUAGCACUAAGAUUUGAGGUAGCGAAUAAGUUCAUGAGUUCGAGUUGCAGGAAAUUCCCUUUAGGAGGAAUAAAAUACUGUUGGAGCAUUUAAGCUUAAAGAAUAACACACUCAAUAAAUUCAUGGGUCUAGACGAAUAGCAUGUCAAGGCUGGAGUGUUAUGACUUUUAUCCCAAAAGAUUAAGGUUCAAUUCCUGAUAAUAGACUUGUUUAGAGGGACAGUCACAUCCUCCAAAAGAGAUUAGUUCCUUACUCAAAAGAUGAGGAGAUAUCAUUGGUAGUACCAAAUAAAUAAAAGCUUAACCUAUGCAACAACUUAUUAUUCAAAAUCUGACAAUCAACAACUAUUAUUACACAUAAGUUCUUAUUAAAAAAUAUGACAUGUGAUUUGUCUCUUACAGUUACAUCACACAUUUAUCAAUUUAAUAUGGUUUUUUGUUGACGUUUAUUAAUGUCCAGGAUUCAAAACUCUAACCAAGGCAUGUUAUGUUGAUGGACAAAAAAUGUGUGAGAAUCCGAAGGAUUACCAUGUUGUCUAUAUACAUUUGCGCAUUAUGCUAACAAGUAUCAUUACCUUAUCCUGAUAAGCGAAUAGAUUAUUUUCAGGAUUUGAACUCGUGACCUAAUAGUCACUAAACAACAUUCUUAUCAUUGCACCAACCACAACUCUUCAUUCACAUUUCAUUCAAAUCCAAAAAGAUUUUUUGAGAGCUCAUGCUUAGAAACAAAUACAUAUGAAUGCCCAUAAAAGUAACUUUCUAUAUCAUUUGUAUUGAUUUGAAGCAAGUGCUCUUAACAAAGUGGAGAAAAGUGAAGAAAGAUUUCCUCUGUUAUUUCCUAGUUCUUACUCAUCUAAACCAUUUAGCCAUGAAAGAAUAACUUCAGCACCUUUCUCCCAUGAAGUAUCCAACAUCAUGUCAUGAGCAACUGCUUCAACACAUAUUGGUGAUACACCAUAAAAAUCUGCUGUUUCUUUAAGUCCCUGUGCAUCCUAUAACCAACAAAAAGUGGAAAUAAUUCAAUAGACUGAACAGUGUUAUUAGCAAUGUAUUAAAUUGCGGACCACAUCACGUGAUGCAGCCACAAAUUGCAGUUGCGGUGACCGCCGCAACCGCAUCACACUGCAAUUGCAGUGUGAUACCGAAUCACAGUGAUGCGACCACAACAGGCCGCAUCAGGUCGCAACGCAACCGCAUCGGGCCGCAUCAGAUCGCAUCGAUGUGAAAAUUAUGUUUUUACUCACAAAAUAAUCCGCACCACGACGGCCGCAAUCACAGUAACUGCAACUGUGACCACAAUUUAAAACACUGGUUAUUAGAGAAGUGCUAUUGGGCUGAACAGUUUUACAAACACACAUAUAUGUAUAUAUGUGAGGCAACAUAGUGUAAAAGGCUCCAACUUAGUUCUAUCAGAAACGGGUAAAUGUACGCAGCUUAGCUACACUACCAAAAAAGCUAUUUCUAAGAUCCGAAUCGGAGACCUCCGUGUCACAUGGAGGCAGCUUUACAGUUGCACCAAGGAUUACCAUGUUGUCUAUAUACAUUUGCGCAUUAUGCUAACAAGUAUCAUUUACCGGACGAAAAACACAUACCACGAUGAAGUCAUUCUGUGCACCCAAAACAAGAACUUCAAGAGGGCAGUUUGGUACAGAAGGAACUGGAAGUGAUGCAUUCAGCUUUCUUAAGUCAAAUAAUGGCAUCCUUGAACUUUCUUUCAUUAGCUCUUGAUAUCUGAAAUAUGAAAACAACCCUUAAGAACUAUAGUUCAUACUAUUGACAACCAACAUUCCAUGACUCCAACUUUUUCAACAUCAAUGUCUAAAACUUUUACUAAACAAGGGAAACAAAUUCAACAUGUUAAUGAUGAAUUGAUGAAAAUAUUAUGAAAAUGCAUGAAAGCGUCAAGCACGUGCAUCUCUAGAUGAUAAUCAUCAGAUUAUCAUUCAUGCACCAAUUACAAUACAUCUUUGACAAAGGAACUAGAUUAACAUUAGAAAUGAAGUAGGGCUAACUAGAUCUUAAUACCAGCCGGCACAUACCAAAUGCAAGAAGCUUUGGAACAACAACAACCAAGCAUUUACCUCACUAGGUGGAGUCGGCAACAUGGACCGAACGAAACCAUAAUGGUCUAUCGUAAAUCAUCAAGAAGCUUUGGCAAUGAUGGGGAAAUACACAGAAAGUCCAAAGAAUAACUACCCGAAAAGUCAACUUGAAGUUCAACAGGAGUUCGACAUUUUCACUUAUCGGGGUUUAUAAAUCUAGUUUUUAACUAUUUUCAGAGAUAAACAUUCGUUCCCUAUUGACUUCUUUAUUUGAAUUUACUCCAAAUAAAGUUAGAGUCAAAUGAAUCAAUCUCUUUUACUACCAAAAUCACACAUUCUAUAGUUUUGAAGAUCAAUGUGUUAACCUGUCAUGGCUUCAUGUUAGGCCUAUUUGUUAAAAGGAUUUUCUUCCUUUACCCCCACCCCAUUAUUAAGCUCCGGUUACAACUUCAAAUGUUUUGGUACAUAACUUAGAGGACGUUGGGAAGAGCUUAUUUCAACAAGCAUAUUGGAGAAGCUUAUUAGAAAAAAGUUUUUAGCUUAUUUCACAAGAGCUUAUUGAAUAAGCACUUAACUAAGUUGUUUACCUAAGCACGACCUUCAUUCAUUCACACAAUCGAUAGUUUCACUUCCUUGUUCCAUACAAGUAACAACUCGAGAAACAAACCUUUAAAAACAGAUAUUAAAAAAAUUCAAUGGAAGUGCUCUUGCGUUUGAUCCCCGGAAACAAACCUUUUAACAAUAUGAUCUUCCAUUGUGGCCGAGAAAAAUGUCUCCUUACAAAGAGAAAGAGAGGUUUGAAAAGCUUUUGCUGCCAAGCUGCGUGUCACCUGAACGGUCGUGGAUAUAUAUACAUAUAAGAAGGUACAUACAGAAAAAUCGCCUUCUUCAGAAAGGUUAGUACAAAUACCUUGAAGGCUGCAAUCGGAUUGGAAAACAGAUAUCGCCAGACUAGCCCACUAAUAAAUUUUUUAAGAAUUCUCAAUCAGUGUAAGCAAAUGUAAACAUUUCUUAUACAUAUUUCUCUAUCUUUGACAAAUAAAUGAUUUUCACCAAUAAAAAGACAAAUGAUAACACUGGAGAGUUUAUUUAGUUACCUAUUACCAGAAGGAGGCACGGAGCAGACAAGGACAGCUCCUCGAAGCUUCGGGUAUAAAUUUUCUAGUUAUAGAAUAAGUUCAAACAGAAUUAGCAUAACGAAUCGGAAUUAAAAUACUGUAAUGUGAAGUCACAGCCAUCCAUCUAAUAAAAUCUUAAAAUGCAAUAUAUCUGUACUGUAAUAAAAAUUAAUAAUGUGUUGUUUUGGCCCUAUUACUAUAGUGUUUUCGUGCCAAGAUCGAAGUAACCCGGAAUAAUAAUCUGGUCGGAAAAGUUCUAAAACAUGAACCUAUAAUCCAGGAUCCUCUAAUUUAAGCAUUUCAAGUUCAAAAAAACAUGUGAAGAGUAAGUGACAAUCAGAAAGUACCUUUCAGUUUGUCACUCCCUAAAUUGGAAAUAUAAUACUGAAUAAUAAGUCCACCAAACGAGUGCCCGAGCACAAUUGGCGGUGAUGCAAUAUUUCGACUGAUGAAAUCUGCAACAUCUCUUGCGUGCGUCUACUGCACAGUUAGUUACAAAAAAGAAAAGGAAUUAUAAAGACAGUAAUCCAAAUGAAGUUUGUCUUAACUUAUCAAACAAAUAUUGAAAGUUCAUAGAAGAAUAAAACUUAACUAGGAAAGGGAGAGGUACUAUACCUGAAGCGUGCCGGCAACUGAAUCAGAAGGUUCAUCGCUUUCACCCUUCCCGCGCAGAAUACAUGCCAGAGCAGUAUCAGACAAUCAUGCUAACAAUAUGAAAUCACCAAAACUAGAAUAAAAGUGUAGAUAACAGUGAAGGCAUUGCAACAGCAAUUUUUGUUUUGUUUUCCAAACCGAGAACAUCCACAUGUACGUGAGGCUAACUCUCCCGGCGGGCAUUUUUUCCAUCCACAAGACUCGAACCCGAGACCUUGCUUAAGGGGAAUCAUGUACCACUUGAACCAACGUCUCUUGAUAUUGCAAUGACAUUGGGAUGUAUGCAGCCAUAACAACAUACAACACAAGCAUGCAGGUAUAUAUAUAUGUAUAAAUGCACAGUUUGCUCACAUCAGACAAGAGGAGAAUUGAAAAAGUUUAUAAGUAGAAAAAGCUCAUAGAAGUAAUGUCUGAAUGUUUUGGUUUAAAACGGGUUUUCUCAGUUGUGGCUCUCCGAUCUUUCCAUACCCUGAUAACAAAGGAACUCACCAUGUGGUUAUAUAAAGCUCUAAGAAGAGCAACACUAGUCACAAACACAAAUCCUUAUCCUCUCGUAGUUGUUCAACUCUCCCGAUGACGUAGACACAAAUUGCCCGAACACUCCCUACCUAAUAGCUAGUCAAGCAGGAAGUGAAGGAACUAGUUUAUAAAGAGAGAGAGAGAAGUGGGACCCACCUGUCCUAACAAGCUAAGAGCAUAGCAAUCAUACCCAGAAUCUGAAAAGAAAGGUAACCAAUGUUGAGCCCAACACCAAGCAGCAUGAUAACUUCCAUGAACAAACACCAAAGUUUGGUUCUUUUCAACAUUCUUAUGCUUCUUCUUCUUCUUCUUCUGCACUAUCACCUCCAUGCUAAGACCAGAUGGUAACUCAUGGAAAAUACGAGAUUGCCCUUCCUUUAGAUCAAAUGGAACCCUCAUCUUAUUGGUUUUACCACUCAUGACAGCAGAGAAAACAUGGGGCUUCAUGAAAUGGAAAGAACAAGAAGAAACAGAAAUAGACAUUGUCUUUUUUCUUCUUCUUUUUUCAAAGUUUUGAUCUUUGAAGAGGAAUAAUGCAAUACAAAUAUAGAAUUAGAAAGAGGGUUAAGGACAAUAGUGUGGCUGCAGAAACAUAAGAGAAACACAACAACAACAACCUAUUCACACUUUCUACACUGUUUUUUGAUUUUUUUUCUUUUCUUUUUUCCAAUAGUGACUCUUGUGAAGAAAUUGGGUCACGACCGAUAUCGGUCAAGUAACCACAAAUUUUGAAAGUGAUUAUUUUUUUACCAAAAAAGUGAAGAAAUACAUUAGUAAUAUAAAAAUAUUAACCCGAAUAUCUAGUGGUGUAGUAAGGCUUCAUUUGAUCUUAAGUCGACGGUUUGAUUUCUGAGAGCGACAUUUGUUAAGAGAGACGGCCAAUAACCUAAAAAUGAUUAGUUCUUUGCCAAAAAAGUGAAAGAUGUAUUGAUACUACCAAAAAAAGAUCAACCCGAAUAAUAGUUUAUUAAAAAAUUAAAUAAUUUGAAUAGUUGUUUACGACCUAUUCAUAUUAAAAUUCAAUUUUAUAAAAAAGUAAAUAAUUGUGACUGGUUUUUUUGUUGCAUUUUUCACCAAGAUCAUAAAUUAUAAAAUUAUAAAAAAUACAGUUCUCAAAAUACAUAAUUAUUAGCACUUCACAUAAAAUAUUAAAUUCAUACUAGUGUUAAAGUACAUGGAAAUAUAAUACACAUAGAUUUAACAAAAUCCAGAUUCUUUUCUCAUUCAUUAGUUGAACAAUUGAUUAUAAGUUUCAUGAGAAAAAUUUACUCCUUCAAUUUCAAUAUCAAUAUCAUGUCACUCAAUACUAUCUUAUUCAUUAUCAUAUUCUACAAUAAAAGUUUACUAUUUUAAUAAAAUUGAAUGCUUAAUUUAAAGUGUUUAAAAAAGUUGAUAAUAAAUGUGUUAUACAUGGGUCUUUUAAAGUUAAAAUUUCUUAGGAUAAAAAUUAAAUCAACUAAAACAAUUCAAAUUUUUAUUUGGUUUGGUUAUUGUUAUUUUGUACUAAAUAUUGGAUAAUAAAAAAUAUGACUAGUCAAUCAGAACAAAAUAUCUAAUUUCUUAUCCACUUACAAUAAAAAAAAUUCGUGAUGGCUCGAAACCAGACAUGUAAGCUCGGCCGAGGCCUGAAUUUAUUGUUAUAUGGUCAGAUUGGAUUAAAAAGUCUAGUUUAAACAAAAUGUUUGAAAUUUUCGAACUUCAGCGAACUAGUUUUGACAUUCUAAUUUUAUCCUUUCAUUUUUACUUUUUUAUGGACUAUCAUAGGAGGAUUGUGAGUUUUCAUUCUCCUUGUUUCAUAUCAUUAGUAAAAAACUUGCCAUUAGCUUUAUAUAAGUUAGUUUUCAUUAGUAAAAACCUCAACAAUGGUGUAGAAAUGUAAAUAUUGAUAUUUUUUAAUGCAAAAAUGGAAGAAAGUAGGUUUAUACUUUAUGGAACUAAAUAACAUCUCAAAGUUCAUCUAAAUAUAUUCAUAGGACCAUUUCUAUACACAACAUUCUUCCAGUGAUCACAUAAUAAGUUUAGAUGGUGUUCAGAUACAACUGAGCCAACCAUCUUAUUUACAAAAAGAACAUGUUCUUCUAAAUAUCCAACCUUUUCAACAACCGACAAAGAUCGCAUGUCUCUAACGAUGUCUCAUUCUCUGUCCAGACCAAUCAGAAUGCUACAUUCUCUUACUUGUUUUAUUUUUUUUUUUUUUAUUCAUAUGGCAAUAUCUGAUUGGCCCUAGACAAGAAAUGAGAUACUGUUCGGGACGAGUGAUCAUAUGAUUUUGCUCAGUUCCCUUCAACUACUCUAAAAGAUAGAUACCAUACCAAAAACAUUGCAUACUCUAUAUACACCACUUUUACAAGCUCCUUCUAUAUACACUUUCUGAAUGGAGUUUAAGCAACAGAGGGGAUGCUGGAAUUCUUGUGAUCCCUACUGAUGCAAUCAAAUCCUUCUACUCUAACUGCAGCCGGUUUCGGUCCAUACUUUGUUCUAGCACAUCCUGCUUUAUGAGAUGCUGAAGUUGGAGAUAGUAAACAUAAUGGUGAAGAAAUACUUGACAUAGGAGUGUGUUGUUCAUCCCUAAAUCGAGCAUCGUUGAUCAAGGGAUUACCAGCCCGGACCGGAGGAGACCCGAAAAAAUAUGGGGGAGAUGAGACCAACUGAUUUGCAUAUUCUUCCUCAUAAGUCUCCUGUUGAAACCAAGAUGAAAAUUAAUCAACCAAAGAUAAAGACAAAUAACAGUCAUUACCGCGAAAUAAGUACACACAAUGCUAAUUGUAUGCAGAUCCAUUCACAGAAACUAUAAAAUUUGGAAAAACUAUGUCUAGGUCCAAAAGCAUUCCAGUAGAAAAGUGGACAUAUGAAGAUACUAACAUCGUACCACGGUAAAUACCACAAACACUGCUCAUAAAAAUCAAUAUCUAAAAGAAUUAAGAGUUUGUUUGGUUUGUGGAAACGUUUUCAAAUUUCAUAAUUAUAACAGUGACCCGUGUUUUCAUUCUAUUUCCGGUUGUAAUUGUGACUCCACGUUUUCACUAUGUUUCUUGUUUUCAAUGUGAAAUGGUGAAAUACAUACACCACUUACCUUCUUUAGAAUAAUGUCUAGUAGCUCUGCCCCAGCUUUUGAAUCAGACUCCUCAACUUGUUGGCUGAUAAACAAAACCAAAACACAGAACAGAUCAGACUCUCGUUACAUUCUAAAAGUCGGAAAUGCCAUCAAAAGGGGAUCGAUUUACUGUAAGAGUUACCUAAAAUGCCAUCUUAAGGGCCGAAUAGACAUGUUUGUUAAAACCCCGACUCUGCAUGGCUUAGGGCAAAUGACAGGGCCAUUCUGAUUAGUAAUGGGAAGAGAGCCUUUCAUCCCUUCACAGGCUCCGAAGGCAUUCUUCUGAAGAUCAUAAUAAUUCAUCUUGAAAAGCAGUUUAAUUCCACUGUAUAACACCAAAACAAUGAAAAUUAACAAAAAAAUAUUCAGGAAAUGUAAAUAACAUAUAAUGAAAGAUGAAACUUGAUUUUAUUCACAGGAACCCCAAUUAUUUAUAAAGGGGAUGGGAGCGUAUUAUCCGAGAUCAUAAAAUCACAGCUCAAUUUUCCAACAGAUCCAUUUACCCUGCUCAAUUCAAUGACUUAAUGCCUAGGAAACACGGAUAGUCGGAUACGACAACAUGGGACACAGACACGACAAAGACACAGACACGACAAAGACACAGAUACGGUCAAUUUUCAAAAUUACAAGACUGGACGUGGCGAUGAGACAAGGUAAGACAUUAAUGUAAACUUAAUGCAAAAGUACAACUCAUUAAUUAAAAGAGAGAAGUAAUGUUGUAAAAAUUAGUAUGACUUUUGUAAAUGUUAUAAAAUGUUAACUUUAUGUAAUUAUUAUUGUGACAUUUCGAUCUAUAUCAACAACAAAGCCUUAACCCCACCAGGUGAGGUCGACUACAUGGAUAUCGAACAACGACACCACACCACUCGAUCAUUAAUCAGUUCAUUGUCAAAGUCAUAGAAUACAAUUUUGAGUGGUGACAUGCACACCCCAACAACUAUGAAGUUUCACAUGAUUCAUAGGUUAAUGCAUGAAAAUGGGAAACCUAAACUUGAGAAAGAAAAUCAAAAUCCCAAUUCACUAUUUUCCAAUUUUUUAUGACAUACAUAAAAAAUGUUAGAAUCAUUUUCACAAUUCAACAACAUAUCUGAGUUCAACCCAUGAAAAAGUUUCAAUCUUUCUCUUCUCUUUCUUCUGGGUGUCUCAUCAAAAAGCCAGAAUUAUACCAUAAAAAAAACAAACAUAGAUUUAAAAUCAACAACCCAAAAUCACUAUCUACAUUUUACAAUUAGCUAAGUCACCAGUGACAGAAAAAUUAUUGAACAGAUCUCAAAUCAGAAUUGAAUAUAAAAAAUAAAUAACAAAAUUAGAAGAAAUUGAGUAAAGUAAAGAAGAACACAUCAAAGUAAAAAAAAACAUGUUAGAAUUUCAGUACUAGGAAACAACAGAACAAGAGAGAGAGAGAGAGAGAGAGAAACCUUUGGGUAUGUUCCAAACAAAGAAGAGGAAAAAAGACAGCGCCAUGAAAGUGGAACCUAUUUAUAGUACAGAAAAAUGUGUCUAGGGUGUUAGAAAAAAAGGGGCUAUACGGCGUCGUUUUGACAGAAUAAAUUAUUAAAUAAUGAUAUGAGAUAUUAUAAGAUUUUCCCUCUUUUGUAUAAAAAUGCAGAAUCUUAAUUCACCAAUGACUAGAUUAGGUAAAAUUAUAUAUGCUUAAGAGAUAAAAAGUUUUGAUUUUUUGGUCAAUCACACUAUUAUGGAUUUGAUUUCAUUCUAUCCAAAUCUUAAAUUUGUUUUAUUUUUGUCAAAGUUUUAAUUUUCUAGUCAAUCAUACUAUUAUGGAUUUGAUUUAGAGUGAAAACAUAUUUUAAUCUCUUAAAUUUUUUUGUUUAUAUCAAUUUGAUUUCUAAAAAUUGAUAAAACAUAUAAUAGUCUAAAAAAGAUUAAUCAUAUAUCAAAAUUAUUCUUUUUAACAUUUCUAUAUUCCUAAUUGAAUUUUGACUGACAUUUAUAAUCUUUUAUAUUAAUUUGAAUUUUUAUUUUUAUUUUUUGAAAUCAAAUUUGUAUACACAAAAAAUCAUAUGAUACCAAAGUACUAAUAUUAACCGAAUAAUAUUAUAAACCAAUUAUUAAUAAAUAAAUUAUUACAAUAUGUUAUUUUUUAUAGGUAAGUGAGAGCAAUGGAUGUUGUUCAAGUGGUAAAUUAUUACAAUAUUUGUGAAAUAUUCUCGACUCGAAUAAGAUUAUUAGGACCAAAAACUAUUAGGUAAGUGAGCCUUUACUUGUUUGUCUCCCUCCUCAUUUUCUGUUCUCUUUCACUUCACUUCACUUGGCAAUUGUGUCACUCUUCUUUGUUUAUAUGAAGGAGUGAUCACUGUUGCAGAAUCUGGUUUUGCUUCAGCCAUGUCUUUCUCUUCUUCCUUUUACCAUUCUCCAUUAUCCAUUAAGGUUCCCUUUCUUUCUUAUCCACUCCCUCUUUCAUUUCCUCUUAUAAAUGCAACUUUUUUAUUUUAUCUUUUUGUUUUCAUUCUUUUUUCUUUGCUAAGCUUUUUGGUACUCCUACUCACUCUUUUGCUCAAUGGGCUUUCCCUUUUAACUUUAAAGUUUUCAACUUUGUUUGAAAUUUUCCUUCUUCUAUACAUUUAUAUCACAGUAUCAAUAACACAAUUACUGAUAAAAUGGGCAUUUGUGUCACAUUUUCUGCUAAAUUUGUUAGAUUUGGCAUUUGAGUAAAGACCCUGUUAAAAUGACAAAUUCUAUUUUGAUUUGUAAAAUUUGCAAAUAACAGAAAUAUCCUUAAAUUUGUUCCCAAAAUGGUCAAUUUGGCCAACAUUUUGAGAUUUUUAUGGACCAAAUUGUCAUUUUUUUGCUUUUAUGGACCAAAUUGUUAUUUUUUUCCUUUUAGGGACUAAAUUGUAAGGCACACCAUUUUUCAGGGACAAACUCAUGUCUUCAUUCUUUUGAUUUUCUGGCUUCCAAGGUGCAUGUUGUUAUAGUGAUAUUAACAGAGUGUUUAUAUUGCAAAAGGUUGCAUGUGUGUCACCAAAAUCUCUAAAUUCACACACUUAACCCCUUAUGUAGCAAGUACCAACUAUGUGUUUCUUCAUGUAGUCCUUGAAUUGAUCAGUCAUUUAAGAAACUAUAUGCACGGCCUGCUUAUUUCGUACCGAGGACAAAGUUCAAUCAUAAUAAAAAGAGAAAGAUCAAUCAAGUAGUUCAUUUAUUCCUAUGUAUAGAUAACAUGGUGUAUAUUUCUGCUAUCAAGAUUCAAGAAGUUUGCUUACAAUUGAGAUUCUGUUUUUCUGAUAGAUUGAUCACUCGGGACAGGCUAUAAAACCUUGUGCCACAGUUGGGAAAGUACAAAAUUUCCCUUUCUCUAUCAGAAGUAACGGUGCUCAGAUUUGUAAUCAACGCAUUUUGAGAAGUAGAGUCAGCGUAAGAAGAGAUUGGAGUUUCAUAGGAGGAGCUAGAGUUUUUAACCCGAAAGUUACAAGAUUGGUUCAUUAUGCUAAAGGCGGCCGAAUACAUGCUUCAUGUAAUAAUUUCUUUUGCCACAUAUACUAAAUUUUAAACUCAGUUUUAUGAUACAAGGUUCCUUUGUCUUGUUCAAGUCCAAAUUAAUUUAAGCACUCUGCUAAAGUUUGUGGUUUUAUGUUUUUGCACUUAGAUAACAUUUUAUAUCAUCGCGCUUCUCACAGUGGAAACCUGAGGUUCUUUUAUAACUUAUAAGGUCUCUUUAAAUUAAAACUACUUUCAUGGUUUGCUGUAAAUAUGACUCGUGUAAUUGGUCGCUUGGUUCUGAUUGAUAUAGUGUCAUUGAUGCGAGAUUUUUCCUUAUUGAUUCGUUCAUAUCAUUUCUAUACUUUUGUUGACUUGGUAUUACUCACUACAGUCUGGAUUUCCUUCAUUAUUCCGGUUGUGUAUAAAGUUUCACUUUUAAAUGUUGAAUUUCAAAAUUUUCUGCUGUAAUGAAAGAUGUCAUGCUAAUGAGUUAAUCUAUCAUCAUUAGUAAUUCUAUAAAGCAACACAGUGUUGUACAAUAUCAAUAUCGCUUUGGCCCCUUAAUGUUUCAGGGUUCUCGGGACCUCAACUCGCUAGCAGAGUAUUUACGUUCGGAACAGCAGCAGUGCUCCCAUUUUACACACUCAUGGUUCUAGCUCCGAAGUCUGAGUUAGUAUGUUUCUUUCUUAUUGUAUUUGGAUAAAUUUAUGAUUACGGUUCAUUAAAAAACUUUAGUUCAUGAUAAUGUCUUUUCAUUAAUACACACUACACAAAUAAUAUGGUAUGUUUAUGUUUGGUAAAUUCUUUAUUCUUCCUUCACAUACCAUUUAUUGAGUUUAUUCUGUAAUCUAUGUGCCUAAUUCAUUUUUCUUAAAUGCAAGAAUGCAGACUAAGAAGUCUAUGGAAAGUAGUAUACCAUAUUUAGUGCUUGGUGUUCUAUAUGCAUAUUUAUUGUACCUUUCUUGGACCCCGGAGACUUUCCGACUGAUUUUUGCGAGUAAAUACUUGCUACCAGAGGUGUGUUUUCGUCAACAAUGUUAAGUUUCCAUUUCCGAAAGGUUUCUAUCCAAGUGGUAACUAUGCUAUCUUGUAUAUUUGGUGCAGCUGAGUAGUAUAGGAAAAAUGUUCUCUAGUGAGUUGACUUUGGCUUCUGCAUGGAUUCACCUGUUGGUUGUUGAUCUUUUUUCUGCAAGGUCCUGCAUUUUAUUUUGCCGUUUUCUUCCUUAGUAUUGCUUUCUUAUUGUUUCAUUACUCUUAUGAUAGCAAUGUUUACAACAAACUCUCUAAGACACUCUUCAACAAACUCGCUUUAUCGGCAAUCCCGUGUGAGGUCUACUAAAUAGAGGGUGGACUCAUGUAAUUUAGCGGGUUCCACAUAAAAUCUGCCGAAUAAUAGUUCAAAAGUGUGUUGCUAGAACUUCUCAUUCUUCUAAUGGUAUUUAUGGUUAUUGAUUUCAGGCAUGUUUUCCAAGAUGGACUUGAGAACCAUAUCGAGACUCGGCAUUCGGUUUUCUUUUGCUUGUUCUUUUGUCCCAUUGGGAUUCUUACUCAUGUCAUUACCAAAGCAAUGACCAAAACUACAAGAAAAGAGGGUCAUAGUAUAUAGUAGAGGAUUACAUUUGAAGUUUCAGAAUUUGACAGAGAUAUGUUUGAGUUGAAGUAACCUAUGAAUGAAUAUCAUGGCCACUUUUUAUUUGUUGUUUGUAAACUGAUAUCAUCAAAGUUUACACUAGUAACAAAUGAUGUAUAGAUUCUCAAACUAAUAUUGAUUAGAUGAUGAGUUGAAGUAACAAAAUUUGCACCUAUGAAAUAUCAUGAUUGCAUUUACUUAUUUGUUAAUUUUUCAAUAUCAAUGUAAUAGGAAACAAAAGGUGGGUUUUUUAAUCAUCUGAAAUAUUUUUUAUUUGCAAGUUUCCAUUUUAGUUUAAAGAAGUUAACUUAAAACAACUUAUGAGUUUCCAUUUUUAAUGUAUGUAAUAUUUAUGUACUAAUAAUGUACAUAAAUAUUAGUCUGAGUUGCUUUACUUGAUCCAAGCUAUUGCUGACCUUAGGGAGUUGUUGGAGCUUGGGCUCUAGGUAGAAUCAGGUAGUUGUCGGUUUUGGACUAUUUUGGGUGAUUACUUGAAAAGAGAUUCCAACAUUCAAAUCAAUAUUUAUAGGAGUGUGCUUAGAGAGAGAAAGAGUGGUUUAACCUAUUUAUAUUAUAGGGUGAAGUGAAUUGUACUUCAAGGUGAGAUGUCAUUAUUGUAGACGGUGUGACUUUGUCUUUUUAGUAGUCUAUCAGACUAAUGUUGUAGAUUUGAACUACCUCUGCUACGUGAGCAACAUGAGCUUGUCCAGAGCUCAGGUAACAUGUCCUUUGUCUUUGGCGUGAAGGAUAGUUUUUGGGCGUAGCAAACACUGACCUUGUUUUAUUGCUCUCGUCCUUCCCCUUAGUUAGUCUGACCUUCCAGACAUGAUAAACUAUCAUAUUGACUGAAUCUUGUCUAUUUGGAAAUGAUCUGUAUUUAUGUAGACCUGAUCUUGUAUGUUCGGUAAUAGACCUCUGACCAAGAUCUUGAUCACUCAUUUGAUAAAAGUGAUGAAUAUGAUGAUGAACUCCAUGCAUUUUACCAUCUUGAUGAAUGCUACAACAUUGUAAAAGGGUACAAGAAUAUUAAUUCAGACAUGUGGAAAAACAUGAUACAUUGGUUGAUUGAAACACAUUGGAGACUCCAAACUUUGUCACAACAAACUCUCUUUCUUUGUGUCAACAUUCUUCAAAGGUUUCUUUCCAUAACUAGUUACAAAAAGAAGUUUGAGCUUGUUGUUCUAACCUCAUUGAUGAGGGAUUCAAAGCAUGAAGAAGAAGAAAGUCCUCUUUGUGUUUAUGACUUGGAAUACAUGACAUGAUAGAGUUUUCAUCUUCAAUAUAAGACACAACGUCUUUAACCAAAACCUUGAAACAUUAAUUACAUGAACUUUUUCUACUUGUAAACGCUUUCACUUCUCCCCACAACUCAACACUUCCUAAUCCUUAUGUCUUUAUUCAUAUGAACAUGGAAAAGAUGGUGUAUUUCAUAUCUGAACUUAGCGUCACACACUACUCCAUUUUUUCAUAGCUUUAGUGAUAUUUCUUCUAUUAUGUUAAGUUGCAUUUUAAAUUAAGUUCUUAACUAUACACAAUGAUUUUCCAUAAGUGGAAUGGUUAUCUAUCUAUGCAAUUUUUUAAUUAAGCUCUUGAAUUUCCAAUUUGGCUGAGAUGAAGAAAAAAGGCAGAAAGAAAUGGGUGAAAAGCAAUAAUGAAGAAUGUAGAAAAUUCAAGAAAAUGAUAUUUACUAAUUUAACAACUAUAGUUUUAAGGUUCAACACAAAUUAAAAGGUUAAUAUCAAAAGAGACAUUAAGCAUGUAAUCACCAAACACACAAACAUUUCAUCAAACAUUUUAUCUACAACAGAAUAACAGAAAAGUUCUGAUCUUAUACCAAGUAAAAUUGGUCAGUCUAGGAAACCACUUUUUUAUUUACGGCUUCAUAUCAUAAAAACAGUCUCUCUACUUACAGGGCAAGUUAUUUACGGGUUCAUUCCGAACAACAAUAUGAGAGUCUCGUGCAUUGGACUGUCGUUACUUUAGUUCAAUAAUUCAAUGGAGUUGUCCAAGUCUAAUUGUAUGAAACUGGUAUUGUAAAGGUGAUUUUCCUUUAUCAAGUUCCUUAGAAACUUCCUCCAUGGUUGGACGAGAAUGUGGAUUUGUACUCAAACAAGUAAGUGCCAACUUUGCAAUCAAGAUAAUUUCCCCAACAAUUGGAUUCUUUGUUGGUUGAGGAAUUCUUUGAUCUAAAGCAUCAAUCAAUAGCAGAUUAUUAGCAAUUGGAACUGUUGAUGAUGACAUAAACAAUGAAAUGAGAUCUCCUGGGUGCUUUCCCAUUAUGAUUUCUAAUGCAAGUACUCCAAAACUGUAUGCAUCACAUUUCUCAUUCACUUCCAUUGUUUGUGCAAGCUCUGCAAAGAAAAUUUUGAAAUGUUUUAUAGGUUUCAAUAGUAGCAACUUGUGUUUUCUACAAGGAUAAUUUUGCACAUCACUUGUUUACAUUCUAGAACGAUAAAGUAGUUGUUUAGUGAUCAUGAGAUCACAGGUUCAGAUCCUGGAAACAGCCUUUCCGCUUGCGAGGUUAAAGCUGUAUGUAUACAUGUACCUUCCCUAGACCCGACUAAGUGGGAGACUCGGGUAAUGGACCACCCUUUUCUUUACUUGUUUACAAUUUUCGUCGUUUUUGCGUUACUCGUAUUCUUUCAUUGGGAUUGGUCUAACUUUUGUACAGGUGAGCCAAUCCCUAUGCGGAAUAUCGAUAUAACGAAAGUGAUGUAAGUGAAAGAUAAUGUGAUCAUUUACAUUUAGAAAUAGAAGGGGAAAGGGUCUAACCUGGAGCGGCGUACCCGAAGGUGCCUGCAAAUGCAGUCCAAGUUUUUGAACCAUGAGUUAGAAACUUUGCUGUCCCAAAGUCAGAAAGAUGAGCUUCGUAUUCGAGAUCUAAAAGAACAUUUUUGCUCGAAAUAUCGCGGUGAAUUAUCGGGGGUGAGCAGUCAUGAUGCAUAUAGGAUAAAGCAUUGGCUACACCCUUAAUAACAUUAACCCUCUUUUCCCAAUCAAAUGCAGUUGCUUGUGUGUCCUCUUUUAGCAUUUGAUCCAAGUUGCCACUUUCCAAGAACUCAUAGACCAAAAAUGAAAACUGUGAAUGCAAACAAAAUCCAUAGAGCUUUAUAAUGUUCCUGUGCUUUACUCCUGUCAAGGUUUGAAUCUCACUUGUAAAAGCUUUUACACUCGACAUUUCCUCACCUGUUACUGAAUGAAGUUUCUUCACCGCGACAACCUGACCCGUAGGCAAAUCGGCCUUGUAAACGCGCCCUUGCCCUCCAACUCCAAUGAGAUACUUGUCAUCAAAAUUCUCCGUAGCUUCAAUGAUAGUUUCAAACAUCAUUUUUCCGUCAUAACUCCAUAUGGAAAAGUGUGCUUCAGUCUGUGCUUCUUGAGCCUGGACUUCACUCUUUCUUUUACGUCGACAAAUAAUGUACAUUGAAAGUACCACUCCACAAAACACUAGUGCUAGGGGUCCCAAGAUAUAAAAUAAAACAAACUUUAGGACAUUGCGGCUCUUCUUAUGACUGCUAUCGGUUGAGCAAAGCAACAAGCCAGUAACAUUACCACAUAAGCCUCUGUUAUUUUUUAAUGAUUCGAUUGAAGCAUUAAGAAAGGCUUUAGUAUUCGGAAUUGGACCUUCUAACUGAUUGUAAGAUAUGUUGACAGUAUUCAAGAUUAAUGUAGUAUCAAAACUAGAUGGAAUGGUCCCGGAAAGAUCAUUAUGUGAGACAUUCAACAUUUCCAAGUGCUUCAAAUCUCCAAGCAUUGUGGGUAUUGUUCCGGACAACGAAUUGUAACUAAGAUCAAGAAAUGCGAGAGAUUGGCCAAUAUUAGAGGGAAUGCUUCCUUCUAUUUUAUUGUUGCUCAAAUUCAACUCUAGCAAAUUUGGUAAGGCCAUCACCUUUUCCGGUAUCGUGCCACUGAACUCAUUUCCUGCUAGAUCCAAGUGUUGAAGAUUCUGCAGCGAACCUAUUUCUGUUGGAAUGUUUCCAGAAAGAUGAUUGUUGCUGAUCCUGAGUUCAACUAGUGAUUUCAAAUUCCCUAGCUCCUUUGGAAGCUUUCCUGUCAACUGAUUCGAUGAAAGGUGAAGUGCGCCUAGCUUGGUUGCAUUAACAAGUUCUAUUGGUAUACCACCAGAAAGAUUAUUGUUUCGGAUGAUAAGCCGAGUAAGUUUAGGGCAUUUGCCCCAAUUUGGAGAAACUUGACCAUAAAAUCUAUUGCUGCUCAGAUCAAUAUAGUCCAAAUUUGGAUAGACGCCGAAGUCUUCCGUUAUAUUUCCUUCAAUUUGAUUUUCAUCGAGCCUGAUUCUAGUGACACUAGAGCAGUUCUUAAGGCUUGUUGGUAUUGGACCCGAAAAUUUGUUGUUAUCAGCACUCAAGGUUUCUAAAUACCCACUUGAGCAGAUUUGUGGUGGCAAAGGACCAAUCAAAUUAUUGUCAGACAACUGCAAGUUACUCAAGUUGGUAAGGUUAUUCAUUUCAUGUGGAAGGCUACCACUUAGUUUGUUUCCGAAUAAUUGCAGGUCGUUGAGCUGUAUCAAGUUUCCAAUUGUCGAAGGAACCGACCCUGAGAGAUUGUUUUCUCCAAGGCUGAGCAAAUAUAAAUUGACCAGAUUCCCUACAGAGGUAGGAAUUGAUCCAGAGAAGUUAUUUGUGACCAAGUACAGUACAUUGAGCUGUGUCAGGUUUCCAAUAGUCGGAGGAAUUGGUCCAGAAAGAUGGUUUUCGGAAAGUGCAAGGAUAGUCAAAUUGACUAAGUUUCCUACAUAGGAUGGGAUUGAUCCAGAAAGCUUAUUGAUGCUAAAGUUGAGCUCAAACAAAUUAACCAAGUUCCAUAUGGAGGAUGGGAUUGACCCGGAGAGUAAAUUUCCGAAAAGGUAAAGAAAGUUCAGCUUGGUUAAAUUUCCAAUUUCAGAAGGAAUAGUACCAUAGAGACCACUUUCUGACAAAUCAAGAAACUCAAGCUUUCUCAACAUUCCAAUUUCUUUGGGUAUGGAACCCUUCAAGGUUGGAUUAUGUGCAAUGCCAAGAUAAACCAGGUUGCUCAAUUUCCCAAUUUCUAUAGGAAUAUACCCUUCUAGAUAGUUGUUUCCAAAAUCUAGAUGUGAUAAGUUAGCCAAGUUUACUAUGGAAAUAGGAAUUGACCCACUAAGAUUGCAUCUAGCUAGAUCCAAAUCAUACAAACUCCUCAAUGUCCACAUUUCUUGAGGAAUGGAACCAUUUAAGAAAUUGUAAGACAUGUUCAUAUGAUUAAGUCUUGAUAAGUUACCAAUUUGUGGAGGAAUUGUUCCAUAAAAAGAGUUGUUGCUAAUAUCUAAGCUUAAGAGGUUGGGUAAGGAAGAGAAACUAAGUGUAUGAAGUGUACCUUUGAGUCCAUAAUUUGUAAGACUUAAACUAUAAACUGACUUGGAUUUAUCACAUAGAAUCCCUUCCCAUUUGCAUACACUAGUAGUAGUAGUGCUUUUCCAUGAUGAUAAUAGAACUUGGCUUUUGGUGUCAAAACUUGAUUUCCACUUCAAUAGUGCAUUUGCUUCACUCUCUAUUGAAUCAGUUGUUUCAUUCAUAGUAGCUGUGGCCAAAGAUGCAAUCUUUGAAAAACUUGUAACUUGGUUUGAAGAGAGUGUUAGAAGAAUACAUAACAAUAUGAAGAGAUUUUGAUAUGAUGAUGCUACAAGCAAGGUUGCCAUGAAUUUUGUAUAAUUUGAUAUCAAUGAGUAUUGCACAUGCUUCUAAGUGUCUGGUAUAUGGUGUUUGAUGAUAGAAGUUGAAGUUGGAAGAUGCUUAUACACAUAUAUAUACAUACAUAUAUAUACAUACAUAUAAUAUAUAUAUAUAUAUAUAUAAUUAAGCAUGUGAUUUUAGCAAAUAAUAUGAACACAUUUUGGUUGUUGAAGUCUCUGCUUAUGCCUAAGAAAUGCUCCACUAUGGUUGUAAUAUUGAAGUUAUAUUUUGCAAACAUGGUCCAUGCUUCACAUCACUUUUUUAUGGAAAAACGUGCAUUAUUUUUUUCUCUAAGAGAAAGAGAAAAAAUGUGUUAGUGAUGUAAGAGUUUAAUAUUAUAUAAUAGUUUAAAAUGUAUGUAUUUACAGUAUAAAAUUUUUUAGAUCGUCAAACCAUUAUCUACUAUUAAUUUAUAUUAUUUUAGUUUGAGAGUCAAUAAUGAUUAAUAAAUCAAUGAUAGAUAAUUUGCUGAUAGUAUAAAAAACUCUUACUGUAUACAUAUUAAAUUCAUUCUACAAUACAUAAUUAUUAAUUAGUUAAGAUUGGUAGACUUUUAAAGUUAAGAAAUACAGAAAUAAAUUAUGGAUAAUGUAUUAGUUUUGAUUGAAUCUUUAAGAUUAUAUAGUGAAUAAAUAUUACAUUUUUUUAUUUGGGUAUUACAUAGAAUGUAAUAUCUAUACAUUGAUGAUAAUAUAAAUAUUUUUAUACAAAGUUAAUUUAUCAUUCAUUAUUCACUUGUAUUAUUUCUAUAAAAUUCUUACUAGGUGGAUAUAUUUGAAGUUAAUAAUGAUAGAGUUGCUUUUGAUAUUCUUUAUUCUGUAUUAAUGGGACCAUGUUUCAUUAUUCCAGCUACUUUUGUUUUGUCGUUUUUGUUCUAUAUUAAUGUAUUACAUGUUGAAGACAUGAUUAUAAAGUAAUUUAUAAUAAUCACAUGGUAUGCAUUACAGGUUUGUGUGAUUAUAAAAUAUAAUUCUUCUUGAAAUUAUUAGAUUCGAUUUGAUAUUCAACAUUCACAUGCUUAAAGAAACAUUUCAGCAUUGACUAUUAAGAAAAUCCUCCAUAAGAGUUGUUGCACAAAAACUAUUUCAAAGAGGAAAGUCAUAAAAUUACCAGAGGUGUAUGCAACCAUUAUUUUAUAGGAAUAAAUUUUUUACAGGCCUCAAACAUUUAAUUAUAGAUAAAUUUAAUUAAUGAUUUCACCACCAAAAAUUUCACUCCAACAUUUAUGGGACCUAAAUAAAAUUUUAGAAGUUAAAAAAUUCACUCUAGACUUAUUUGAUAAACUUUUUAAAAGAUGUGUAAAGUUUUCUCAAAUAUCAAGAUAUAUGGAUAGUAAUGGGUCUAAAUGGGUUCUGAUAGUAUCUUACCCAAAUCCGCCAUGUUACUUCAUUUUUUGUCAUAGACCCGUUCUGGAGCAAUGUUGAUAUCCAUUAAGUUUACUACCUGUGGGUCCUUGGAUACCUAGUAGAUCCUUGGGUAUCUACAAAUUCAAGCAUAAUGGUCCAAGUAAAUCUAGUAAAAUCAUCUACUAAGGUAAGGAAAUAUUUGUAACCAAAAAAAGAGGGGACAACAUAAGGACCCCAUAUGUUAGCAUGAAGAAUUUGAAAAGGCUUAAUUGUUUCGGAAGUACUUGAUGAAAAAGGGACUUUCUUUUGUCUAGAAUAGUGACAUAUGUCACAAGGUUUUGAAGAUCUAAAAUUGGUGAUAGAAGAAGGAUAUUGUUUAUUGAUAACAUGCAUAGCAAAAUCAGAAAUAUGGCGUAGUCUUAAGUGCCAUGAAACAAAAUUAGUGCUAGAAUUAUUGUAAAAAGUAAAGGAACUUGGUUUGAAGACAUGUCGUGUAUGCAAGGUGAAUAACCCUUGUUGAAGCCUAGCUGAAUCAAUCAUCUUCUUGAUAUGGUUCUGCAAAAUAAGACAUUGAUUCUUAGUAAAUAUCAAGUGACAAUGUAAAUCUUGAAUCAGUUUAUUGACAAAAAUCAAGUUAACAUGGAAUUAGGAACAUACAAAACAUUGGUUAAGAUAAAGGAGGUAGACAAUUUUACAAUUCCAUAUAUGGAAGUAGAUAUCUUGCUACCAUUGAGUAAAUUGAUAACCAUUGGAGUUAUGGUGUCAUGUGUGAUGAAUUGUUUCACAUCAUAGGUGAUGUGGUCUAUGGCUCCAGUGCCCCAAGGAGCCACUGAAAUCUUACAUUACCUAAGUCAUAGGAUUGCACUGUGGUGUUGAUGACAAAAUUUGUAGUAUUUGUAGUGUUGGCAACAUGGUUUUGAUCAACCUUAGCUUGAUGCAGCAUAUCCAACAAACCUUGAACUUGUUCUUGGGUGAAGGUGUGAUUGUAAUUCUUUAUAGGUGGAAUGAUUCUUGUUUCUGUAUUGAUAUCUUCAACCUUGUCCAAUGGAAAACCCAUUGUGUUGUUUGCCAUUCUAUUGGAUCUGUUAGAUUGGAACCCUAGUGGGUAUCCAUGUUUUAGGAAUCAAGUCUCAAUGGUGUGUGGGUUCUUUGGCCAUGAGUGCAGAAUCUAUUGAUCUGGGAUCUACCUACUCCACUAGUGAGCCUACCAACUCUCCCUCUAUUCGAAUCAUUUCCUCUUCCUCUUCGAUUUCUAGUGCUCCUAGAUUGAUAAUCAUGUCUAGAGUUUACUAACAGAAUCUGUCAUUUUGUUUCAAUGUUGGGUAAGGUAGGAUUUUCAAAUUGUUCCUCUUACUGUAUAAGCAAUGAAAAGACUUUAUUGAUGUUGGGAAGAGGCUCUAUUAACAUAAUUUGGGAUCUUACUUGUGGAAAUUGGUCACUCAAACCUGUUAGGAGCCUAAUUGCAUAAUCUUGAUCCCUAUAAGCUUUCAUUGAUUCAACAGUACCAUAAAUACAUGGUGUAGGACACUUACAAGUUCUUAGUGGCCUAAAGUUUUCAAUUUCUUCCCAUAUAGACUUUAAUUGGCUAAAAAAUUCAGAAAUAGUUAGGGUUCCUUGGCUUAGGUGACAAAAUUCUAAUUGCAAUUUGGCUAUAUGAAAACCAUCACCUUUUGAAUACCCAUCUUUCAUAUCUUUCCAGACGAUAGAGACAUUAACAAUCCAUAAAAUUCGUGAGAGUAUCAUGUUAUUGCAUCUCACCCAGGGGUUCCUGUGCUUUACUCCUGUCAAGGUUUGAAUCUCACUUGUAAAAGCUUUUACACUCGACAUUUCCUCACCUGUUACUGAAUGAAGUUUCUUCACCGCGACAACCUGACCCGUAGGCAAAUCGGCCUUGUAAACGCGCCCUUGCCCUCCAACUCCAAUGAGAUACUUGUCAUCAAAAUUCUCCGUAGCUUCAAUGAUAGUUUCAAACAUCAUUUUUCCGUCAUAACUCCAUAUGGAAAAGUGUGCUUCAGUCUGUGCUUCUUGAGCCUGGACUUCACUCUUUCUUUUACGUCGACAAAUAAUGUACAUUGAAAGUACCACUCCACAAAACACUAGUGCUAGGGGUCCCAAGAUAUAAAAUAAAACAAACUUUAGGACAUUGCGGCUCUUCUUAUGACUGCUAUCGGUUGAGCAAAGCAACAAGCCAGUAACAUUACCACAUAAGCCUCUGUUAUUUUUUAAUGAUUCGAUUGAAGCAUUAAGAAAGGCUUUAGUAUUCGGAAUUGGACCUUCUAACUGAUUGUAAGAUAUGUUGACAGUAUUCAAGAUUAAUGUAGUAUCAAAACUAGAUGGAAUGGUCCCGGAAAGAUCAUUAUGUGAGACAUUCAACAUUUCCAAGUGCUUCAAAUCUCCAAGCAUUGUGGGUAUUGUUCCGGACAACGAAUUGUAACUAAGAUCAAGAAAUGCGAGAGAUUGGCCAAUAUUAGAGGGAAUGCUUCCUUCUAUUUUAUUGUUGCUCAAAUUCAACUCUAGCAAAUUUGGUAAGGCCAUCACCUUUUCCGGUAUCGUGCCACUGAACUCAUUUCCUGCUAGAUCCAAGUGUUGAAGAUUCUGCAGCGAACCUAUUUCUGUUGGAAUGUUUCCAGAAAGAUGAUUGUUGCUGAUCCUGAGUUCAACUAGUGAUUUCAAAUUCCCUAGCUCCUUUGGAAGCUUUCCUGUCAACUGAUUCGAUGAAAGGUGAAGUGCGCCUAGCUUGGUUGCAUUAACAAGUUCUAUUGGUAUACCACCAGAAAGAUUAUUGUUUCGGAUGAUAAGCCGAGUAAGUUUAGGGCAUUUGCCCCAAUUUGGAGAAACUUGACCAUAAAAUCUAUUGCUGCUCAGAUCAAUAUAGUCCAAAUUUGGAUAGACGCCGAAGUCUUCCGUUAUAUUUCCUUCAAUUUGAUUUUCAUCGAGCCUGAUUCUAGUGACACUAGAGCAGUUCUUAAGGCUUGUUGGUAUUGGACCCGAAAAUUUGUUGUUAUCAGCACUCAAGGUUUCUAAAUACCCACUUGAGCAGAUUUGUGGUGGCAAAGGACCAAUCAAAUUAUUGUCAGACAACUGCAAGUUACUCAAGUUGGUAAGGUUAUUCAUUUCAUGUGGAAGGCUACCACUUAGUUUGUUUCCGAAUAAUUGCAGGUCGUUGAGCUGUAUCAAGUUUCCAAUUGUCGAAGGAACCGACCCUGAGAGAUUGUUUUCUCCAAGGCUGAGCAAAUAUAAAUUGACCAGAUUCCCUACAGAGGUAGGAAUUGAUCCAGAGAAGUUAUUUGUGACCAAGUACAGUACAUUGAGCUGUGUCAGGUUUCCAAUAGUCGGAGGAAUUGGUCCAGAAAGAUGGUUUUCGGAAAGUGCAAGGAUAGUCAAAUUGACUAAGUUUCCUACAUAGGAUGGGAUUGAUCCAGAAAGCUUAUUGAUGCUAAAGUUGAGCUCAAACAAAUUAACCAAGUUCCAUAUGGAGGAUGGGAUUGACCCGGAGAGUAAAUUUCCGAAAAGGUAAAGAAAGUUCAGCUUGGUUAAAUUUCCAAUUUCAGAAGGAAUAGUACCAUAGAGACCACUUUCUGACAAAUCAAGAAACUCAAGCUUUCUCAACAUUCCAAUUUCUUUGGGUAUGGAACCCUUCAAGGUUGGAUUAUGUGCAAUGCCAAGAUAAACCAGGUUGCUCAAUUUCCCAAUUUCUAUAGGAAUAUACCCUUCUAGAUAGUUGUUUCCAAAAUCUAGAUGUGAUAAGUUAGCCAAGUUUACUAUGGAAAUAGGAAUUGACCCACUAAGAUUGCAUCUAGCUAGAUCCAAAUCAUACAAACUCCUCAAUGUCCACAUUUCUUGAGGAAUGGAACCAUUUAAGAAAUUGUAAGACAUGUUCAUAUGAUUAAGUCUUGAUAAGUUACCAAUUUGUGGAGGAAUUGUUCCAUAAAAAGAGUUGUUGCUAAUAUCUAAGCUUAAGAGGUUGGGUAAGGAAGAGAAACUAAGUGUAUGAAGUGUACCUUUGAGUCCAUAAUUUGUAAGACUUAAACUAUAAACUGACUUGGAUUUAUCACAUAGAAUCCCUUCCCAUUUGCAUACACUAGUAGUAGUAGUGCUUUUCCAUGAUGAUAAUAGAACUUGGCUUUUGGUGUCAAAACUUGAUUUCCACUUCAAUAGUGCAUUUGCUUCACUCUCUAUUGAAUCAGUUGUUUCAUUCAUAGUAGCUGUGGCCAAAGAUGCAAUCUUUGAAAAACUUGUAACUUGGUUUGAAGAGAGUGUUAGAAGAAUACAUAACAAUAUGAAGAGAUUUUGAUAUGAUGAUGCUACAAGCAAGGUUGCCAUGAAUUUUGUAUAAUUUGAUAUCAAUGAGUAUUGCACAUGCUUCUAAGUGUCUGGUAUAUGGUGUUUGAUGAUAGAAGUUGAAGUUGGAAGAUGCUUAUACACAUAUAUAUACAUACAUAUAUAUACAUACAUAUAAUAUAUAUAUAUAUAUAUAUAAUUAAGCAUGUGAUUUUAGCAAAUAAUAUGAACACAUUUUGGUUGUUGAAGUCUCUGCUUAUGCCUAAGAAAUGCUCCACUAUGGUUGUAAUAUUGAAGUUAUAUUUUGCAAACAUGGUCCAUGCUUCACAUCACUUUUUUAUGGAAAAACGUGCAUUAUUUUUUUCUCUAAGAGAAAGAGAAAAAAUGUGUUAGUGAUGUAAGAGUUUAAUAUUAUAUAAUAGUUUAAAAUGUAUGUAUUUACAGUAUAAAAUUUUUUAGAUCGUCAAACCAUUAUCUACUAUUAAUUUAUAUUAUUUUAGUUUGAGAGUCAAUAAUGAUUAAUAAAUCAAUGAUAGAUAAUUUGCUGAUAGUAUAAAAAACUCUUACUGUAUACAUAUUAAAUUCAUUCUACAAUACAUAAUUAUUAAUUAGUUAAGAUUGGUAGACUUUUAAAGUUAAGAAAUACAGAAAUAAAUUAUGGAUAAUGUAUUAGUUUUGAUUGAAUCUUUAAGAUUAUAUAGUGAAUAAAUAUUACAUUUUUUUAUUUGGGUAUUACAUAGAAUGUAAUAUCUAUACAUUGAUGAUAAUAUAAAUAUUUUUAUACAAAGUUAAUUUAUCAUUCAUUAUUCACUUGUAUUAUUUCUAUAAAAUUCUUACUAGGUGGAUAUAUUUGAAGUUAAUAAUGAUAGAGUUGCUUUUGAUAUUCUUUAUUCUGUAUUAAUGGGACCAUGUUUCAUUAUUCCAGCUACUUUUGUUUUGUCGUUUUUGUUCUAUAUUAAUGUAUUACAUGUUGAAGACAUGAUUAUAAAGUAAUUUAUAAUAAUCACAUGGUAUGCAUUACAGGUUUGUGUGAUUAUAAAAUAUAAUUCUUCUUGAAAUUAUUAGAUUCGAUUUGAUAUUCAACAUUCACAUGCUUAAAGAAACAUUUCAGCAUUGACUAUUAAGAAAAUCCUCCAUAAGAGUUGUUGCACAAAAACUAUUUCAAAGAGGAAAGUCAUAAAAUUACCAGAGGUGUAUGCAACCAUUAUUUUAUAGGAAUAAAUUUUUUACAGGCCUCAAACAUUUAAUUAUAGAUAAAUUUAAUUAAUGAUUUCACCACCAAAAAUUUCACUCCAACAUUUAUGGGACCUAAAUAAAAUUUUAGAAGUUAAAAAAUUCACUCUAGACUUAUUUGAUAAACUUUUUAAAAGAUGUGUAAAGUUUUCUCAAAUAUCAAGAUAUAUGGAUAGUAAUGGGUCUAAAUGGGUUCUGAUAGUAUCUUACCCAAAUCCGCCAUGUUACUUCAUUUUUUGUCAUAGACCCGUUCUGGAGCAAUGUUGAUAUCCAUUAAGUUUACUACCUGUGGGUCCUUGGAUACCUAGUAGAUCCUUGGGUAUCUACAAAUUCAAGCAUAAUGGUCCAAGUAAAUCUAGUAAAAUCAUCUACUAAGGUAAGGAAAUAUUUGUAACCAAAAAAAGAGGGGACAACAUAAGGACCCCAUAUGUUAGCAUGAAGAAUUUGAAAAGGCUUAAUUGUUUCGGAAGUACUUGAUGAAAAAGGGACUUUCUUUUGUCUAGAAUAGUGACAUAUGUCACAAGGUUUUGAAGAUCUAAAAUUGGUGAUAGAAGAAGGAUAUUGUUUAUUGAUAACAUGCAUAGCAAAAUCAGAAAUAUGGCGUAGUCUUAAGUGCCAUGAAACAAAAUUAGUGCUAGAAUUAUUGUAAAAAGUAAAGGAACUUGGUUUGAAGACAUGUCGUGUAUGCAAGGUGAAUAACCCUUGUUGAAGCCUAGCUGAAUCAAUCAUCUUCUUGAUAUGGUUCUGCAAAAUAAGACAUUGAUUCUUAGUAAAUAUCAAGUGACAAUGUAAAUCUUGAAUCAGUUUAUUGACAAAAAUCAAGUUAACAUGGAAUUAGGAACAUACAAAACAUUGGUUAAGAUAAAGGAGGUAGACAAUUUUACAAUUCCAUAUAUGGAAGUAGAUAUCUUGCUACCAUUGAGUAAAUUGAUAACCAUUGGAGUUAUGGUGUCAUGUGUGAUGAAUUGUUUCACAUCAUAGGUGAUGUGGUCUAUGGCUCCAGUGCCCCAAGGAGCCACUGAAAUCUUACAUUACCUAAGUCAUAGGAUUGCACUGUGGUGUUGAUGACAAAAUUUGUAGUAUUUGUAGUGUUGGCAACAUGGUUUUGAUCAACCUUAGCUUGAUGCAGCAUAUCCAACAAACCUUGAACUUGUUCUUGGGUGAAGGUGUGAUUGUAAUUCUUUAUAGGUGGAAUGAUUCUUGUUUCUGUAUUGAUAUCUUCAACCUUGUCCAAUGGAAAACCCAUUGUGUUGUUUGCCAUUCUAUUGGAUCUGUUAGAUUGGAACCCUAGUGGGUAUCCAUGUUUUAGGAAUCAAGUCUCAAUGGUGUGUGGGUUCUUUGGCCAUGAGUGCAGAAUCUAUUGAUCUGGGAUCUACCUACUCCACUAGUGAGCCUACCAACUCUCCCUCUAUUCGAAUCAUUUCCUCUUCCUCUUCGAUUUCUAGUGCUCCUAGAUUGAUAAUCAUGUCUAGAGUUUACUAACAGAAUCUGUCAUUUUGUUUCAAUGUUGGGUAAGGUAGGAUUUUCAAAUUGUUCCUCUUACUGUAUAAGCAAUGAAAAGACUUUAUUGAUGUUGGGAAGAGGCUCUAUUAACAUAAUUUGGGAUCUUACUUGUGGAAAUUGGUCACUCAAACCUGUUAGGAGCCUAAUUGCAUAAUCUUGAUCCCUAUAAGCUUUCAUUGAUUCAACAGUACCAUAAAUACAUGGUGUAGGACACUUACAAGUUCUUAGUGGCCUAAAGUUUUCAAUUUCUUCCCAUAUAGACUUUAAUUGGCUAAAAAAUUCAGAAAUAGUUAGGGUUCCUUGGCUUAGGUGACAAAAUUCUAAUUGCAAUUUGGCUAUAUGAAAACCAUCACCUUUUGAAUACCCAUCUUUCAUAUCUUUCCAGACGAUAGAGACAUUAACAAUCCAUAAAAUUCGUGAGAGUAUCAUGUUAUUGCAUCUCACCCAGGGAAUGUGAAGAGGAUCAUCUGAUGGUGGCUUGGUCAGGCUUCCAUCAAUAAACUUCAUCUUGUUCUUGGACUCGACGGCCAUCUUGAAUGCAUGAGCCCAAGAAUGGUAAUUUCUCCCAUUCAGCAAGGGGGUGAUUAGAACAAGAGCCGAAUUUUCACUGGAGUGCAUAAAAUAUGGGUUUGAGGGAUUUAUGUUAUGGUCCGGCAUUAUCUAGAGUUGUAGAGAGAGGAGAAGGUUAUUGGAAUAGUAAAGAGAGGAAAGACAAGGAAGAGGAGAAAAGAAGGGAGGUUAGUAAUGAGAGCAAUUGUUACUCUGAUACCAUCUUAACUUUGCAAUAAGCCAUCAAUGGAAAAAAAGAAAGUUGUAGAGAAAUCUUUUAUUGCUUAAAAUGAAAGUAAUAUGAAUUGAAUGAAUUGCCAUAAUGAAGAAGAAGACUAUAUAUCCUAAAAGAAGAAAGUGGUUAAUAACUAACCCAACUAACCUAACUAUAUACUAACAAAUAAGGUAAGAAUGGUGCCUUGCAUAAGAAGAAACCAUUACUUUAACAAUAUACCCUAAAAUAAAUCUAUAUAAAUAGAUUAGAUUAGAUUAGAUUAGAUUUAGAUAAUAUAUCAUAUGAAAUUAAAGAUACAUUCCUGAUUAUCCCAAUCAUAUAGAACACUAUAAAUUCCUCUUGAAUCAUCCUAACCCUAAUGAACAAAACCCAUAAAAUCACAAUGGCAGAGACAGUAAUCAAUGAUAUUAACAAUUUCUCAGAUGAUAUUCUUUGUCACAUUCUAUCUUUUCUGCCAACCAAAGAUGCUGUUGCAACCAGUGUUCUUUCAAAGAGGUUUAGACCACUAUGGCUCUUUGCUCCUUCUAUAAACUUCACUCAACCCAAUGAAGACAUUGGAAGUUGGGUAGUUUAUUCAGUUAUGCGUAUGAGAGGUUUGAAACUACCUUUGAAAAGGUUUUGUCUUAAAAUCAAUGGUCCUAUUUAUGAUGCUGAUUCUUUUGAUAUUAGCACAUGGGUUAAUGGUGCAAUACAACGUGGACUUGAGAAUCUUGAUCUUAGUCUAAGUUUAUCACUUGAUAUUAAUUUCCCACUUGGAAAUAUUCUUGGUAGCAAAACCCUAAUGGUUCUUAAACUGAACAAGUUAAAAGUUGAUAAUGUUUUCAUUGAUGGGUUUCCAUGUCUCAAAACCAUGCAUUUGGAUGAUGUUGUUUUCAAAGAACAUAGACAUCUUAUGCACCUUCUUUCUGGGUGUCCAAAUCUUGAGGAAUUGCAUGCAGUCAAACCAGUAGUUGAAGAUGGUUAUACUUUCAAUCAUGAUGAAGAGUUUGAAGUUCAAAGUUUGCAAAAUUUGGUUACAGUACGUGUUUCAAUGGCUGAUUGUAUUCCAAUGGAAUGCAUUCGUCAAGUAAAGUUUCUUGGUUUCAAAGAGGUAUAUCAUCAUCACCAUUGAAUUUUCAUUAGUUUUGUCAUUUAUUAUCAUGUUUCGGUAAAGAAUAUGAUUUAUAAUAUAUCAUUUAUGACGUCGUUCGAAUCAUGUAGCCAAUCUCACCUAUCGUAAGAAAGGUUUAGUUGUUAUGUUGUUGUUAUUCAUUCUCAUGUUUAUAUGUUUUCUUUGAUUCAGGAUUUUUCAUUUUUUCAAGCUUCACCAGACUACAAGUUUACUUGCAUGUUUAGUAAUUUAUCAUUCCUCAAGUUUAUUGUUAAGAUCUAUAACAUGAAUUGGUUUCUACAAGUACUCCAACAUUGCCCAAAUCUUCAAUCUCUUGUGAUUUUUAAGGUUUGGUUUUUUUAAUCUUACACUUAUUUAAUAUUUCUGUUUAUUUAUGGUUUCAAAUAUUGGAAACAGUCUUUUCCAUUACAGGGUAAGGCUUAAUUCGUACAUCUAUUAUUCCAGAUCUCAUUAAGUGGCAGCCUCGUACAUUGGGUUGUCUUUUUUUUCCGCCUUAAUAAUGAUUCUUUAUUGUAUAUUUUCCUAACAAUUUAUUUGAUGUCUAUUGUUACAAGGAUGCUAAUGUUAGUGAUCAUUACAUGGAUGAAAACAUUGAUGUGAAAAAGUGGCAGCUAGAGUUCACUCCUGAAUGUCUUUCAACACAUCUCAAUCUAUGCUCUUUUCAUAACUUUAGAGGUUGGAAAUGUGAGUUAGAGUUUGCAAAAUAUAUUAUGAAAAAUGCAAAAGUUUUAGAGACCAUGAAAAUCUCAAGUCAUAGAUCCUCAAAACCACAAACAAAGCUUGAAAUGGUUAAGAAAUUAUCUAUGUAUCCUAAGAGUUCUCCAACAUGUGAACUUUCAUUUGAGUGACAAGUUGUGGAUAUGAUUUCUCAGAAGAUCCAAAAUUGUUUUUAAUUAGUGUCUUUAUGUGUAAUUUCAUAAUGGUUUUGGUGAUUUUGAAGGUUAUGGACUUUUAUUGUACACAAAUCAAAUAAAAUACUUGUCCUUAUUUCCUUGUGUGAUACAAAUUUUGAAAAAAAGAUAGAUUAUUUUUCAAUAAUUAGAUGAUUCUUGCUCCUUCCAUACUUAAUGAUGUUUCUUUGAAACUAUAUAUGGUUAAAAUUAUUGUGCUUAUACACAAUCUUUGUAAUAUCAUUGAUCUUAAAAAUAAUUAAAUAAAUGAAUAGUUGUUCAACAUGUGAAUUAAGGAAAUAUUGUGAAACUAAGUAUAAUCAACAGAUUCCAUUAACUAUAUAGUUUCAAAUGUUACAAGCCAGUUUGAAGUGUCUUACUUACUCAGGUCUAUUAACUUACUCAGAAAGGCACAACAUGAUGGUAUUAGUCCUCAUAAGAGGAAUGGCGACGCCGAUGAGAGUGUUCGUCUCUUUCUUUUCUCUUCUGAGAAUGUCUCUCGGUUUCAGCGUUACUCCUGCGUCCGUGUUCUUUCUUAGAUGAACUCCUGUCAUGUUGGUGACCACCCCUCUCUUCGCUUCUCUCCAAAGAGCUCCUUCUCCGCGAGUGAUCAUCUCGGUGACUUGAAUUCCUUCUGUGGUGCCGUUCUUCAAUAUUGUCCUCUGGGUUUUUGAGGUUACCAUCAUCCCGGUCCCUAUCUUUAGAAUCCCUUCUUCGGGAGUCUUUUUCCCUGUCCGAAAUGCUAUUUUCUCUCCGAGGGGGAGAUGGGGCCUGUACAUAUAUGUAAAGACAAAUAAAAGAAAUUAACAAUAAAAUCGUAAUUUUCAAAUUUUGGUUCGGAAGUGAAUUACUGAUUCAUCAAAAGCAAGAUUAAACAAGCAGAGAUAAAUAAUGUGCCAUGACCCAUUUUUGCAAGGAACAAUUCUUUUUCCAUUAAUAACUCAAACUAUUUAAGAAUGCAGAUCAAGAUUCUUACAUGUUAUAUUACAUGACACUUUCAAAAUAGGAUAUGCUCAAUGGUCAAACAACAAUACCUGAUUGCGCGACAGGUAUCUUCCCUCGGGUGGAGGUGGGAUGCCAAGCUUCUCGAGCUCCUCAUACGGGAUUGGUUUCCUGGUUACAUGGUCAAACAAAUACAGAGUUAAUAUAGCCGCCGUUAAUGAACCGUAGCUAUGCCAUCAAGUUAACUAGCAGGGUCAAAUUCAAGCAGUGUCACAAGCCAACUAAUAGCAUUUAGCCGAAUGAUAAAUGGAGAUAUGUCAUUUUAUGUCUGCAAUAUGCUAAUUAACUUCACUCCUUUUCACAGAACUUCUACAAUGAAGAAUUAAACAAAUAACUUCUCUGUUAACAAAACCAUAACUUCCUUCACUUAUAGGCAUUCAAUGAUCUUAGGAUCUAUAUAACCUUCAAAACACGUCUAAUAGUCAUGUAAAUCAUAUGCACAUGCGCUGGUAUAAUACACUACUUGCAGCUGUGCAUCAUACAUGGUAACAUAAAACUGAAUGAAACAACAUGCCAGCCCCAUUGCAAUAUCAUAAUAUCUUGAAAACUUGCUGCUAUGUAGCUGAUUAAUAUGUGAUAGAGCAAUUUAUAUGGAGUUGUGAUUUCCAUCUUGAAAACCUUUCUACGUGUGCUUGAUGUUAUACAUAGCCAUUCCUAAGCCCAAAUAAAAAGUGAAGGUUGUGUUAGACAGUCGACAACCAACAUAAAACUUUGUCGAAUCUCUACGAUAAGUGAUUGCAGACACUAAUGGUUUGGCCAAGUUACAUUGACUGCCUCUCUUGUUUAGCUGAACUAAAUUAUAAGAGAUUUUCAGAAAUAAGGAAAUAUAUUGUGGAUAUAAGAGGAUAGAAGUAUACAAGGGUGCACGAAAUGGCUUUUCUCUUCCACCAAAGCGAAGUUGUCCGGAUUCUUUUUUGCCACCAAGACCACCACCUAUUGGAGAGAACAGAGAGUCAUCAGAUGGCUUUGGCUCAAAGGGUAGAAAUACAACAUAAAGAAUGAGUCACUUUAACCGACCUAGCCUUCUAGGAAUCCACCCGGCCAUCAACUUUUGUCUGUUAUAGUCAACAAUGAUUUCAUUAUCAUCAAUAAUUGCAUGAUGAGCAUCCUGAAAAUGAGAAAAUUCAAUGACUAUCGGUAACAUUAACAUUUCAUAAAAAGAUAUAUUGUACAAGUAAGGUGAAGCCCAAAUGAUUUCUUUCGAUUUUUGACCCAUAUGGCAGUAAAAUCAGCUGUACCAUAUAUGCAUAAAAAGCUUCCUUUUAUUGAAUUAAAACUAAACAAAUUUUUAACAUGUCGCUGUACCAUAUAUGCAUGUCGCAUCUCCCUGUUUGUUUCGUAUUCAACAAAUGCAUAACCACGAGAAGCUCCGGUAACUGCAACCAAAAAGAAAUAAUCAAACGUAAAAUCUUCAAUUGUAUUGCUUGAGAAUACUAUGGCCAAAAGAGUAAUUAAAAACUUAUAUAGUUCAAAAGAGCAUAUACAAACAAUUGUGAACCCAUUGGCAGGGGAUUAACACAAACUCAGAUUGUUACACAAGUACACAAUCUACAAGUAAAGGGCGGUCCGGUGCACGAGGCUCCCACCUAGUGGGUCUAGGGAGGGUAGAUAUAUACAGUCUUACCCUCACAAGUAUAGAGGUUGUUUCUAGAAUUUGACCUCAGCACUUGCAGGUCACAAAGCGGACAACCUUACUUUUGCACCGAGGCUCACCCUCGAAGUACACAAUCAGCUAAGUACCCAAUCAUAUUGAUCAUUUGAUAAGCAUGUUCAAUAUGAAAUACCAUUUCUACAAAAUAUUUUUCGAAACACACAAUUUGAUGCAUUGACUAAGAUAAGCCAAAGAAGGAUACCAAUGUCCCGGACCAAGCGUAAGCUUUUGAUAUGACCAUAUUUGCUCAUAAACUGAAAGACAACAACCAAAAAUUCCAUCAGUACAUGAUUUAGGAUAUCCAAGAAGUUACUUAAGAUUAAAGCCAUAAAAUGAGGUAGUAUAAGAAGAAACGGCACUAUCAUCUAAACAUUGAUCGGAUUCAGGAGUACUUUUAUUUACUUUGUAUUUAAUCUGUCCUUCCAUAUCCUCCAUCAAUUCUGAACUCUUAAAUCAAAUAAUGUUAUUGUCCUUAAAUUCAUUCCAUGAAGAAACUCACAAGCUUAAAGGAAUGAAAUUGAGUUCCAGAAUAUGAUUUCAACUAAUACAAGCUCUAUGCUCCUUCCAUACACUCACUAAUCCAUUGUUUGUGCAGAUUGCAGACAGGAUCAGAAUUUAACCCUAUCCUUCUAAUACAAAUUUCUCAGUAAAAAUCAAAUAUACAUUAACUAAAUCAAAAUACAUUUGAACAAUUUUCUUCUUAUUUAUCAUAUAAACAAGGCUCAAAGACAAAAGAACUGGUUAAUGAAAAUAAGGCUAAAGCUGCAAAAUUACAAAAAAAGUGAAAAACAACAAAACUGAAAUUCAUCUUUUUGAGAAGCUAUAAAAAAAAACAGGCGGGUCCAGUGCACACGGCUCUCACUUAGUGGGGUCUGGAGAGGGUAAAUGUAUGCGGUCUUACCCCGCAAGCAGAGAGGUUGUUUCCAGUAUUUGAACUCGUAACUUCAUAGUCACUAAGCAACAAACCUUACCGUUGUUAAGCUAUAUGCAUCAGCUUAUUAAAAAAUCAUUUUAGUCAAAAAUCAACUUUGUAAAAACACUUUUUUAUAAGCCUAAACAAACAUACCCUGUAAAACUGGAGAGAAAAAAAACCUAAAAUUCAAAGUUUUUUUAUCAAAGCUAUAUUUUUCAGCAUCUAAAAAAAUCAAAAUUUUAAGCCUAAACAUGUUACCCCUUAAAAUACCCAAAACCAAAAUCAAUUUUUUUUCAGAAUCACCUUAUUUUAAAAGUAUAAACAAGCAAGCCCUUAAGAAAAACAGAAAAUCAUAUACCUGAUGGAUAAUUUGUUCAGUAGUUAGGUGAUUGAGACGACCAACAAAGACAGUGCAGUAAGGAUCCAUUGUAGCUUUAGAAUCACCAUGUGGGUCAUCUGCAAAAAAAUUAAUUUUUUAUUUACUGAAAUUUAUAAUGAAAUAAAAAUGAAAAUGAAAAUGGAUAUAGUUACAAACAUAGUGAAAGUUUUUGACAAAGAUGAGCACGAUGAAUAGCUUUGUCAUGAGGAACAAUAUCAGUUCCAUCAAUGCUUCCAGCUUGAAUUGGAUGAUAAGAAUUUGCAUAGAAAAUUGAAUUUAAUUUUCUUGAUUUUGUAUCCAUCACAUUUCACUUUACUCUUAUAUAUAAAUAUAAAUAUAAAAGGGGUGAAAUGAAUUAUGAAUUUAUUUAGAGAUGGUUGGAAAUGUUCUUGUGAAUCAUAGGGCUAAAUGGAUUGGGCUUGUGGAAAUUGAUGCAUUCCUCUAUCAUCCAAGGUUAAAUCUUGUACCAAUUCAUAAAAUCAUGUUUUUAUGUACAAAUAAUCUAAAGAAAGUGUGGGAUUUUAUGUUUUAUGAUAACCAAUGUUUAGGGUUUUGAAAGAGAAGAGGAUAUCAAAUUUCACUUGUAUUACACAUUAGAAUUAGGGAUGGCAAAAAACAUCUACACGCACAUAAAACCUACACGGGUAUGGGUCAUAAAUGACUACUCGUAAAUUUUACAAAUGAGCUUUUAAAAUAUUCGUUGAAUAUACGGGUGAGCAUGAGUAUUACUCAUGUUCACGGGUACUCAUUAUUUAUGUUAUUUAUGUGAUUAUUAUAUUACCUUUAAUUAAAAUAGAGAGUACAUUACCCUAACUUUCACUUACACUAUAUACAUGGCUUGCUUUUAUUUUGUUUAUAUUUUUUUACUUGGUUUAUGUUUAUCUACCUUGUUUACAUCUUUUAUUAAAUUAAAUGGCGAAACACCUACAAAUACCAUUACAUGUGUAGACAUAUAGAUAUCUUGCAAAGAAAAAAAAAAUUUCUCGAGGAAUAGAAUAGCAAAUACAUAAAUAGAAAACCUCAAUCCUAAUUAUAGAUUUAACAUUUUUACUAAAUAUUAAAAUCAAAAGAUACAAAAUAAUUAAGUUUCAUCUUAUGCAAAAUAUAAUAGAAGUCAGAAGUUAGAAAUUCAUUGAUAAUGCAGGAAAUUUGUGCGUAUUCAUUGUACCUGCGAGUACUUAGAAAUACCUGUAAAAAAACCACACGUGAGUACUCACGGAUAUGGGCGAGCAUGAAUAAGUGUAACAUUUUUUUAGAUUAUCAAUCAAUUAAACAUAAAUCAAACAUUCUCCCAUAUAACCUACUUAAAAUGACAUGUGUCCCUCCAAAUAUUUUAAAAUUAUAACUCAUAAAAUCUAGUUUUAUGCAUCACAUUCUAGUAUUUGACGGUACUAAAUUCUACAGUACUGAAAAGAAUCUAAACCCAAUUAAACAUCAUUAAUAUACAACUUCAACUUCUAAGGUAGUCAAGAGCAACUAUACUGGUUGUUCAAUGAGAUAAGAAUAUUUGUACUCUGUUAUCGACUAUAUCAUUCUUAUUUCUUGAUUUUUAUUCUUAUAUAUUUGUCGGGUGUAGCAUAGGAUACAAGUUCCUAAAGGAAUAUAUUAUGCUCUUUUUUAAUUAACACUCAUCAUUAUAGUUAUUUAUAAAAAGGUAAGGGUUUAAAUCAAAAACUGAAUAAAAAUCGAACAAAAAUCAAAUAAAAAUUAGAACUUUAUCCUAAGGACCAUAACCUCAACCCACAUCCCCAUUCCACAUCUAAGAAAACAAACUAAGAGUACCAAUACAAUAGAAGUGACACAAAUCACUAUUUUUAAAUUUAUAAUAUAUUAUAUACAUCAUAGUCCAAUACAAACUUUGUAGUUUGUAUUCGACUAUUCUUCAAUUAUUACUCUAACGUUUCCGAUUUUAAGAGCUAAAGUCACUUGAAACUUUUGCAUUCCAAUUAGAAUUAAAUGUAACACAAUUACCUCGUGCACCUUGUGUCUUUUUUCUAUAAGACUUGAUUUUAACCCCAAAGAUCUUAACAUAACUAAUCCCUUUUAAUAUUAUUAUGAUAAAAUUUGGACACUUUUUAUAUUCAUGGGUCUAAUCACUUGAAAGAUAAAUCCUUUUAGUAUAUAUAUCACAAACUAUUAGUUUCGAAAAGGUGGUAAUCCUUUACUUUUAUAGUGGAACGAUAAUUGGUAAAUAAUAAUUUAUUUUGCUUUCAUCAUUACACGAUUUUCCAAACUUUCAUAUAACCAUAGGCCACAAUUCUUUGUUCUCUCACUUUGCAUAAAUAUUUUCACAUUAUUUUAUCUUUCUCACUGUUUUGCUUAUUUUUUGGGAGAUGGGUUCACCAAACAUCACGUCAAACUUUUAACAUUUUAUAUUAACAGAAUAUACGAUCUAUUUACUUAUAUAAUGAUAUAAACACCAAAAUUAAAAGAAUUUCCUAUUAAUUAAGAAACAAUAAAGGAUUUGAUGUGACACUAAACUCAUAGUUUACACUUUACAAGAUAUUCUAUUCAUUUUAAUUACUAUAAUUGAGUUUUCUAAGUAAAAAGUUUAAUCUAAUAUAUCAAUUACUAACAUAAAAUAUUAUUAUAAAGUGUCAAUGGAGUUGAUUUUAUAAAUAAACGUAUAUAGACAAAAGUCAAAAACUAAAUUUAAAAAUGAAAAAUAAAAUCACCAAGAGGAAAAAGUGACUUUUUAACUAAAAAAAAAGAGGAAAAGUUUGGUAUGAUUAGUUUCCUUUUUCAACAGUAUUUCAAGUUCAAGUUGGCAGUGAUUUUUGCUGUUUGAAUGAAAAACAAAAUCACAAUUACGAAAUCAUUCUCAUUUGGUAAGGCAUAGUACUUUUCAAUACUGUCUUGUCCUGAACUGGAAAAUAAGAGAACAAAAUAGUUGCACCAAAAGGAAGGAAACUAUCAAUUUUAUUAAGUUUUUAAUCCCAAAAAAUUAUGGGUUUUUUUUUAAUUUUAGUCUUUGUAGUUUUUUUGUUUGUUUUCAGCUUCUAAAUUUUAAAAUAUUUUCUUCUAUUUCUUAUUAUUAAUUACAUAGAUGUGAAAAUCGAUAAACCAAUUCGUAUAUCAAUUUGAUACAACAAUUAUAUCGAUCAUGCAAUCAUAUUGAUGAAACUGACUAAAUCUGUUUGUUUACUAAUUAGAAUAUUUAUCAAUGAUAAAAUUACAUGUUAUCAUUUAACUUAAGAUAGGGACUAAAGUAAAAUAUUUUAAAAUUGUAAAGACUUGUUGAGUAUUUCGAGUAUGAAUGAAGAAGUCAUAAGUUAUAGAGCAUAUAAGUGGGUGAACUCAUAGAUCUAAUACCUUAAGGUUUUGGGUCAAGAUGUAGUCUCAAACUCAUUUAUAUGUUUUUUCAGCCCAUUGAAAAAUGUUAUAGCCGAUGGAUGAAGAUCCAUGAGUAUCAGAGUUGAUGAUUCGACGACUCAAUCGAGUAUUGAAGCGACAAGUGAUUGAUAGAUCCAUGAGCAAUUAUUGUGUCAAGUAGUACAUGUUUGAUUCCCCUUAAGCAAGGUAUCGGGUUCGAGUCUUGUUGAUGAAAAAAUAUCUAUUGAAAGAGUUAACCCCACGUACCUGUGGAUGUUCCCGACUUGGACAUGAUUGUCUCCGGUGUGAGGAUACAUAUAAGAAACAAAAAAAUAAUUGCAAUAUAAGAGAGCGUGACAGAACCUGUGAUGUUAAAACGCGCGUGACAUAAAUAAUGGAGAUUUGAAAAGUGAAAAGUGAACACAACAGAAGACAGACGUAGACACAACGUUACCCAACAAAACAAACCUCUGUUGCUAUUGACCAAUGCUACCAUGCGCACGCGGUGUUCACUUUUGUCUCUUUCACCUUAUCCUACGCACCCUCAUUCACUUCUCUUACAAAACAACAGCAACAAAGCUUCUUCAUUUUCUCAUACUUCUCUUUUUGUAUAACCUUUGUUUUUUUCUAUUUGUAUCUUCUUUUCUUAAUGAUCCUUCUUUGUUUUUAACCAUCAUCAACUUUUCCUUUCUACCUCGUAGCUUGUUCCCAUAUCUUUCAUGUGUCACAUUAUUGUAAUGUGUUUCAUCAACUGAAUUAUGUGUCUUUUGGGUGUUCUGAUUCCAAAACAGGUACCAUUUUUGGAAUUAAAAGAUGGGUUCUUUUCAUUUUUCUGAGUUGAUGAGGGAAUGUGAAGUUGAGAAAGAGAGAGAGAGAUUGUAAGAGCUGAAGAAAAAUUGGUUUUUUCCUUUUGGGUUAGUGAUGGAAUGUGAAGUUGAGGCCUAAAAAUUUGUUUUUUUUCCUUUUAGAGUUGAAAAAUUGUUUUUUUUUUUCAUUUUUUGUGUUUGCUUUAAAAUUUUAGAACAAUAUAGAGAGAAGUGUAUUUGUUGAAGAAGCUGGUUUUGUCAUUGUUUUUGGAAAGUGUUGCAAAAAUGAAUGAUUCUACAGUGAAGAAUUUGGCCAUCAUAGAGAAGAAAGCACAUAAACCAGGUGGUUGUGUUGGCAUUUUCUUUCAGCUCUUUGAAUGGAAGAGAAAGCUAGCAAAGAAAAAGCUUUUCUCCAAGAAACUUUUACUUCCUGGUUAGUUUGUAAUUAGUAUCCACAUAUAUUUGACUUGAAUUGCAUUUCUUCAUUGGUUUGUGGAAACUGAUGUUAUUUGUUUGGAUCUUCUUGUUUGUUGAGUUUAUAUCAGCUCGUGCGAAAAAGUUUAAUGGAGAUGAAAAAAUGACAAAUGCCAAGCUCCAUUUGGUAAGUUUUUUUAUGUGCUUUAUGAGAGUUUUUGUUAUGGUUUUUGAUUUGGGUUGUCUUUGAUGUUUAGAACUUGGAAAUUUUGUUUGUUUGGGUAUUGUGGUUAUGUUUAUUUUUCCAAUUGUAGAUUACUAAUGAGAAUAGUGGAGGUUUCCCAAGUGGUAGAAAAUGCGGGAAUCGUAGGUCAAAUGUAGACGAAAAGAGUGAAAUGCAAGCUCCGGGUCUUGUAGCUAGGUUGAUGGGUUUAGAAUAUGUUCCGGCUGUGCAACAAUACAAGUCCAAGAAAGCUUUGGUUUCUGGUAGUGGUAGUGAUGAGGAGAAGGAGGUUUUAGGUGAUAAUUGUCGAUCGGAUAGACAAGGUGUGGAUUUGGAAGUGGGGAUAGUAAAACAUGAUUCAAGACCUCAGAAGCUUCAGAAAAUCGGGACGUGUGAGAAAAUGGCAGUGACUAGGUUUGGAGCAGAAGCCCUGCAAAUUAAGAGUGUUCUAUCACGAGCGAAGAAGAAUAAUCAUCCAAAGCUUGCUUCUCCUUUGAAGAGUCCAAGAAUUAAUUCCGGAAAGAGUGCCUCUCGAAGCUCUCGGUUAAUUGGAGCAGCUACCAAACUUUUGGAACCUGGACUGCAAGCUAGAGGCAGAGCUAAAGAUUGUCUUACAUAUCCUGCUUCCGUGUAUCCUCCGAGGACUGGCAUUGUAACCAAUGGUGUUGGGACAAGCUCAGCAGUUAUAGAAAAUCAAUCUUGUUACAACGCCACCACAGCCAAGACUUCAAUCGGGCACACUUCUUGCAAAAAUUGUGGUAAUUUUCUUGAUGUUGUUGACUGCAAGCCUGAGUUUGAGAGACGGCCAGCUGUUCCUCCGGCUAUUGUCUCAGACACGACCGCUCCUAACUCUAUGGCAUCACCUCAGAAGAAGG